rnacentral:rRNA from 1 species
AUUGAACGCUGGCGGCAGGCCUAACACAUGCAAGUCGAACGAGUGGCGGACGGGUGAGUAAUGUCUGGGAAACUGCCUUAUGGAGGGGGAUAACUACUGGAAACGGUAGCUAAUACCGCAUACCAUCAGAUGUGCCCAGAUGGGAUGAGCUAGUCGGUGGGGUAACGGCUCACCUAGGCGACGAUCCCUAGCGGGUCUGAGAGGAUGACCAGCCACACGGGAACGGAGACACGGGCCAGACUCCUACGGGAGGCAGCAGUGGGGAAUAUUGCACAAUGGGCGCAAGCCUGAUGCAGCCAUGCCGCGUGUAUGAAGAAGGCCUUCGGGUUGUAAAGUACUUGCAGCGGGGAGGCGUUACCCGCAGAAGAAGCAACGGCUAACUCCGUGCCAGCCGCCGCGGUAAUUC